UAGGAAUUUAAAUAGAGCAUAGCAGAGUCAACUGGCUCAUUCAUUUUGAGAGAUAGAGGUGAAAAACUAUGUAUCUAAAACGAAAAUCUUUGCCUACCACUACCAUAAAAUGCGAUCUCUUAGCAAUCAACUUUGCAUGUUUUUACAAACACGCAAAAAUGGGGAAUACGAAAGUUUCCAGAUACCAGAAAUUGAACCAUAUUUGGUGUCAUCC
rnacentral:lncRNA from 1 species